UGCGGGGUGGAGCAGUUGGUAGCUCGCUGGGCUCAUAAUCCAGAGGUCGUCGGUUCGAAUCCGGCCCGCGCUA
rnacentral:tRNA from 1 species